rnacentral:rRNA from 1 species
GGGGGGCGUCCCGGGGCUUCCUUCGCGGGAGCCCCGGUCGGCGCCCUCCGGGGCCGAUCCUCGACAGACCGUCGCCGCCGGUGUCUCUUCCCACACCAAAGCGGGGCCGAGAAGGGAGAGGCGCGGGGUGAGACCCUUUCCCCCGUCGUCCGACUCCCGGCCCCGUGGGUACCCGGCGAGCGCGGCAGUCCGGUGGUCCCCUCCUCUCUCGGGGGGAGGAUGCCUCCGCCUGUACGCAGGGGGGCGCAGGCCCGGGACUUGCCAUUAGACGCCGUCGCGCAAAUCUGUUGUUGGCCUCGCCGGCUCUGCUUGGGCUCUCGGUUGGCGGGCCGCGCGUCAGGCGGGCUUUAGGGCGGGGGCAUCCCCGUCCGGGUCCGUCCCGCGCGGUUUUGCCUUCCGAUCCUGCUCUGUCCGGAGUGGCCUAGCGCGCGUGCUGUCGGCAAGUACCAUGAGCAGACAUGUUGGGACCCGAAAGAUGGUGAACUAUGCCUGGCCAGGAUGAAGCCAGAGGAAACUCUGGUGGAGGUCCGCAGCAAUUCUGACGUGCAAAU